rnacentral:lncRNA from 1 species
AUCGUCGGGAGAAGCCUAUUUAUAGGCGAGGGGGCGGCCGGUCGAUGGAGCUUCGACCGCCGAUCUUCGCACGCCGAACCGCCUCCGCCGGCCGAACCAACAUCCCAUCCGAGCUCCUCCACAAGGCGUGCUCGGCAUUGAAGGAAAUCCAUGAUGGCGCCCGAGAUCUGUCUCUUCUGGCCGACGUCGGCCUACCCUCCUC